UGGGGAAUAUUGGACAAUGGGCGCAAGCCUGCUCCAGCCAUGCCGCGUGAGUGAUGAAGGCCCUAGGGUUGUAAAGCUCUUUCACCGGUGAAGAUAAUGACGGUAACCGGAGAAGAAGCCCCGGCUAACUUCGUGCCAGCAGCCGCGGUAAUACGAAGGGGGCUAGCGUUGUUCGGAUUUACUGGGCGUAAAGCGCACGUAGGCGGACUAUUAAGUCAGGGGUGGAAUCCCGGGGCUCAACCCCGGAACUGCCUUUGAUACUGGUAGGCUUGAGUUCGAGAGAGGUGAGUGGAAUUCCGAGUGUAGAGGUGAAAUUCGUAGAUAUUCGGAGGAACAACAGUGGCGAAGGCGGCUCACUGGCGCGAUACUGACGCUGAGGUGCGAAAGCGUGGGGAGCAAAAAGG
rnacentral:rRNA from 1 species